AAGGUAGAAAACAAGGUGCAAGAACAAAUGACUGGGUUCCUCAAUGAAGGGACAUCAUGGGAGAGUUCUCUGGGAAUUAGUGCUGGUCCUGGGCUGUUCUGCACCUUCAUAGAAAGGAAAUAGUGCUUUUUGGGAGAAGAGAUGGAGCAAAGCACACAUGUGGGAGAAAUCAAGCCUCUUGAGAAUCUUGGCAGUCAUCAUGACUUUUGUGAGGAGAUGGAUGUUCACUGUGUUACAAAGGCGUGUGAAAACUGCAGCUGCAAAGGGCUGAGGUAUGUCAUUACCUGACACCAGAGGCCAUGGUGUGGCUUAGAUUCAGGACAGACUCACCUCAUCCUGUCCUGCACAACCUCAUCAAGAAAUGGACUUGUCAGGGCUUUUAGAGUGGAUGUAGACCUGAGCGCUCAGGACCUAAUUGCACAUGCACUGUUGGAGGGUGCAGUCACAUUGGCUGCAGGUGAAGGUUUGCAAGACUGGAUCCACAAAUAGCCUGGUAAGUUUUGGUUAUAUUCUCAUCUGUUUUGGUCAAGUUGACUUCACUUUACUAACAUUUUUAAUUCACAUUUUUAUUUGUCCUAGAAGGAACACAAGUUCUUUACUCUUCGGCGAAGAGUGCAAAUAGAUGGGGCAUAUGUUUUUUUCACAUGUUGAGUAGCUGAUGGCUUAAAGUUUGCACACAGUUGCAUAACCCAAGAGUUACCUGUCUUGGUGUACUGAACAAUUACAAGAAGUCAUUGUUUUCUAAUAUUAUUUUCUUCUUUUUUUUUUUGUUUAAGUGAAGUUCACAUUUGAAAUCUCUUUUGCGCUUUGAAGUAGAGUGUAGCUCCCGGAGGUGGAUAAUCUUAAUGCUAAUUUACUAUGCAACAAUGUGCGUUAUUAACGGACAUGUGAGUGAUUCUUUCAGUGAAUGAAGAAAAAUUAUUCCAAAUGAUUAUUGAUGGGUUAAUCAAGGUAGCCAUGUCAACUUUCUUGUAUCCAUUAGUGUGAACGGUAUUUUACAAUCAUAAUAAUAAGAGCCAAAUGUUAAUGGCUGAGGUAAUCAGACCCUAAUGAAGAACAGUGAGGAGUGCUCUCUUUAAAUAGUUUACAAUUUUCAUAAUCACUGGAGUGGUCAGUAGGUCCCAUGAUUCUUCAUAUUUCAUAAUGUGUGUUUACUAUCAGCUUUUGGGUUUAAUUUCUUUUUUCUUCCUCCAGAAGGUGAGUAAACAGAGAAAUUAAGAAGCAUAAAUGUGUGUAAUAGCAUACCAAAUAAAACUCAUUUUGUACAGAAAUUCUAAGAGAAAAGCAUUUUACACUUGGAGUUACAGGUAUCUAGAAGCCUGCUCCUGCCUUUAAUUUCUGGUCUUCGUAUAAUUAUUUUGUUGAUAAUAAGCACUUUAAUUUUUAAGAGCUCAUCACAGGCUUAAGCCUUAUCCAGCAGUUGAAGACCCUUGACUGCUUUAGUGUAGGAACCUUUUGGGGAAGAAUAUUUUUAACUGCUGUCUGUUUUUCCCAAGUAGUAUGCUUGUGAUCCACAAAUACACAGUUAAGGAACUAGUUUGUGUGACUGGUUCUAUGGUUAAA